rnacentral:misc_RNA from 1 species
CCAAAACCUGGAUCGAAUUCCUCGUCAAAUUCCGAUGGAUCAUCAUCAUCUUCAUCGUCCUCCCCAUCUCCGCCGUCCUCCACCUCCACUCCUACCUCUCCGACCUUCGCGCCGCCCUCAAACCCCGCAACCUUCGCGUACGAGAUCACAACAAAAACGUCAGCAAAGUCUCCGCCCGCCUCCGCCAGCGCAACCCCGCCAUCGACGGCCUCGUCUGCACCGCCCGCAAGCCACACUACGUCGUCGGCAUGCGCAACGUCGACUACAAGCGCGCCCGCCACUUCGACGUCGACCUCUCCGCCUUCAACAACAUCCUCUCCAUCGACGCCGCCCGCAUGGUCGCCCGCGUCGAGCCUCUGGUCACCAUGUCCCAGCUCAGCCGCGCCACCGUCCCCCUCAACCUUGCCAUCCCCGUAGUCUCCGAGCUUGACGACCUCACCGUCGGCGGCCUCGUCAACGGCUACGGCAUCGAAGGCAGCUCUCACAUCUACGGGCUCUUCUCCGACACCCUCAUCGCCCUUGAUCUCGUCCUCUCCUCCGGCCAGCUAGUCCGAGCCACCGCCGACAAUGAAUUCUCAGACCUCUUCCACGCAGUCCCCUGGUCGCAGGGAACACUCGCCCUCCUCGUCGCCGCCGAGAUCAAGCUCAUCCCUAUCCAACCCUACAUGCGCAUCACCUACACCCCGAUCAAGAACUCCACCCUUCGCAAAAUGGCAGAUAACUAUGCUAACUCAUGCUCGCCAAGCGGCGUUCCGCCGCCCGACUUCGUCGAGACCUUGAUCUUCACUCCAACCGAGGCCGUCAUCAUGACCGGGAAAUACGCCAACGCCGUCGAAGCUGCCGCAGGAG